rnacentral:miRNA from 1 species
UUAGGUUGGUGCAAAAGUAAUUGUGGUUUUUCCCAUCAAAGUAUUGGCAAAAACACGUUACUUUUGCACCAACCUAAUAAAA